rnacentral:rRNA from 1 species
AACGAACGCUGGCGGCAUGCCUAACACAUGCAAGUCGAACGAGACCUUCGGGGCUAGUGGCGCACGGGUGCGUAACGCGUGGGAACCUGCCCUUAGGUUCGGAAUAACUCCCCGAAGGGGGUGCUAAUACCGGAUAAUGUCUUCGGACCAAAGAUUUAUCGCCUUUGGAUGGGCCCGCGUUGGAUUAGCUAGUUGGUAGGGUAAAAGCCUACCAAGGCGACGAUCCAUAGCUGGUCUGAGAGGAUGAUCAGCCACACUGGGACUGAGACACGGCCCAGACUCCUACGGGAGGCAGCAGUGGGGAAUAUUGGACAAUGGGCGAAAGCCUGAUCCAGCAAUGCCGCGUGAGUGAUGAAGGCCUUAGGGUUGUAAAGCUCUUUUACCCGGGAUGAUAAUGACAGUACCGGGAGAAUAAGCUCCGGCUAACUCCGUG